CCUAUGUUUCCAUCAAAAACGGAUUGUUGUUGUCCCUCCGUCUCAACUUGUGGUAAUUGAGUGUUAGAAUUGCUCUCUUUAUCUAUCGAUUGUUGAGGCCCAUUAUUAAUAGGAACAUUCGAUUCCGAUUCAAAUACUUGAGGAGCUUUUGUUGGUGACAUCUGUUUAUAUCCAUCCGCAUUGGAUUCGAGAAUCUUCAUGAGUGACUCUCUCAUUUUGUCAAUCAAUGGUAAAAGUCUUCUGGUGACGCAUUCGUGAGCCAAUGCUUCUAUUGAUUCUCGGGCGACAGAAAUAUGAAUCAGUAAGUUGGUAUUUUUAGUUAAAAGAGCUGCAAAAAUAAGUGUAACAAUUGUGCUAAAUCCACAAUAAACGGUAGUCCAGUAAUAUCUGUCUAACGUACGUUUAAGACCCUUGGAAAGGUGACUUAAAUUUUGAACACAUACAAUAGCAGAGUCGACGCAUUUACACGCCAAAGUGAAGGCGGUUUGUCGAUCUGGCACCUUAAGUGCUUGCAUUGCUGGACUGUCAGCUUCAAGGUAAUGUAGGAGAGGUCGGUAGAUUAACAUUCUAAAAGAAUAAUACACCAACUG